UGUAUUGAAAUUCUAACCUACGGGUCUUAUCGACCCGGGAGACAGUGUCAGGUGGGCAGUUUGACUGGGGCGGUCGCCUCCUAAAGUGUAACGGAGGCGCCCAAAGGUUCCCUCAGAAUGGUUGGAAAUCAUUCGUAGAGUGCAAAGGCAUAAGGGAGCUUGACUGCGAGACCUACAAGUCGAGCAGGGACGAAAGUCGGGCUUAGUGAUCCGGUGGUUCCGCAUGGAAGGGCCAUCGCUCAACGGAUAAAAGCUACCCCGGGGAUAACAGGCUUAUCUCCCCCAAGAGUCCACAUCGACGGGGAGGUUUGGCACCUCGAUGUCGGCUCAUCGCAUCCUGGGGCUGUAGUCGGUCCCAAGGGUUGGGCUGUUCGCCCAUUAAAGCGGUACGCGAGCUGGGUUCAGAACGUCGUGAGACAGUUCGGUCCCUAUCCGUCGUGGGCGUAGGAAAUUUGAGAGGAGCUGUCCUUAGUACGAGAGGACCGGGAUGGACGCACCGCUGGUGUACCAGUUGUUCUGCCAAGGGCAUAGCUGGGUAGCUAUGUGCGGAAGGGAUAAGUGCUGAAAGCAUCUAAGCAUGAAGCCCCCCUCAAGAUGAGAUUUCCCAUAGCGUAAGCUAGUAAGAUCCCUGAAAGAUGAUCAGGUUGAUAGGUUCGAGGUGGAAGCAUGGUGACAUGUGGAGCUGACGAAUACUAAUAGAUCGAGGACUUAACCAUAUAA
rnacentral:rRNA from 1 species